rnacentral:rRNA from 2 species
CUAUGGUUAAGGAACUCGGCAAAAUACCCCCGUAACUUCGGGAGAAGGGGGACCUCGCUUGGUGACCGGACUUGCUCCGUGAGCUGAACGAGGUCGCAGAGACCAGUGAGAAGCGACUGUUUACUAAAAACACAGGUCCGUGCGAAGUCGCAAGACGAUGUAUACGGACUGACGCCUGCCCGGUGCUGGAAGGUUAAGAGGACCCGUUAACCCUUGGGUGAAGCGGAGAAUUUAAGCCCCAGUAAACGGCGGUGGUAACUAUAACCAUCCUAAGGUAGCGAAAUUCCUUGUCGGGUAAGUUCCGACCUGCACGAAUGGCGUAACGACUUCUCAACUGUCUCAACCAUAGACUCGGCGAAAUUGCACUACGAGUAAAGAUGCUCGUUACGCGCGGCAGGACGAAAAGACCCCGGGACCUUCACUAUAGCUUGGUAUUGGCGUUUGGUUCGGUUUGUGUAGGAUAGGUGGGAGACUGUGAAGCAGGCACGCCAGUGUUUGUGGAGUCAUCGUUGAAAUACCACUCUGAUCGUAUUGAACCUCUAACCUCGGACCGUAUAUCCGGUCCAGGGACAGUGCCUGGUGGGUAGUUUAACUGGGGCGGUUGCCUCCCAAAAUGUAACGGAGGCGCCCAAAGGUUCCCUCAACCUGGACGGCAAUCAGGUGUUGAGUGCAAGUGCACAAGGGAGCUUGACUGCGAGACCUACAAGUCAAGCAGGGACGAAAGUCGGGACUAGUGAUCCGGCACCUCUGAGUGGAAGGGGUGUCGCUCAACGGAUAAAAGGUACCCCGGGGAUAACAGGCUGAUCUUCCCCAAGAGUCCAUAUCGACGGGAUGGUUUGGCACCUCGAUGUCGGCUCGUCGCAUCCUGGGGCUGGAGCAGGUCCCAAGGGUUGGGCUGUUCGCCCAUUAAAGCGGCACGCGAGCUGGGUUUAGAACGUCGUGAGACAGUUCGGUCUCUAUCCGCCGCGCGCGUCAGAAACUUGAGGAAACCUGUCCCUAGUACGAGAGGACCGGGACGGACGAACCUCUGGUGUACCAGUUGUUCCACCAGGAGCACGGCUGGAUAGCUACGUUCGGACAGGAUAACCG